CGUAACACGUAUGCAACCUACCUUACAUUGGGGGAUAGCCUUUCGAAAGGGAGAUUAAUACCGCAUAAGACAGUAGCUGGGCAUCCAGUAGCUGUUAAAGAUUUAUCGAUGUAAGCUGGGCAUGCGUCCAAUUAGCUAGUUGGUGAGGUAAUGGCUCACCAAGGCAAUGAUUGGUAGGGGAACUGAGAGGUCAAUCCCCCCACACUGGCACUGAGAUACGGGCCAGACUCCUACGGAAGGCAGCAG
rnacentral:rRNA from 1 species